UGGCGAACGGGAGAGUAACGCGUGGGAAAUCUGCCCUUCAGCGGGGGACAACAUCUCUAACGAGGUGCUAAUACCGCAUACGACCUAGGCUCCACAUGGCGCCCUGGUGAAAGAUGGCCUCUUCUUGAAAGCUGUCACUGAAGGAUGAUCCCGCGUCCCAUUAGCUUGUUGGUGGGGUAAUGGCCUACCAAGGCGACGAUGAGUAGCCGGCCUGAGAGGGUGUCCGGCCUCACUGGGACUGAGAUACGGCCCAGACUCCUACGGGAGGCAGCAGUCGAGAAGCUUCGGCAAUGGACGAAAGUCUGACCGAGCGACGCCGCGUGAGCGAUGAAGGUCCUAGUGAUCGUAAAGCUCUGUCAGGAGGGAAUAAAUGCCUGCGGUCAAUACCCGCAGGAGUUGAAGGUACCUCCAGAGGAAGCGCCGGCUAACUAUGUGCCAGCAGCCGCGGUAAUACAUAGGGCGCAAACGUUGUUCGGAUUUACUGGGUUUAAAGGGUUCGUAGGCGGGCUGAUAAGUCAGAGGUGAAAGCCAACGGCUCAACCGUUGAACUGCCUCUGAUACUGUUAGUCUUGAGUCCGUUAGGGGAUGGUGGAAUUCCUGGUGUAGCGGUGAAAUGCGUAAAUAUCAGGAGGAACGCCGGUGGCGAAGGCGGCCAUCUGGGACGGUACUGACGCUGAGGAACGAAAGCUAGGGUAUCAAACGGGAUUAGAUACCCCGGUAGUCCUAGCCGUAAACGAUGGGCACUAGG
rnacentral:rRNA from 1 species